CCUGGGGGGGAGACAGCAAUAUACCAGCUGGUUAAUAGUAAAUGGAUGGACUAGAGAGAAAGUCCUUCAAACCCAGGUCCACCCAUUUCCUGCAGGAGUCAGGGACGAGUUGGCUUUGGAGCCGUGGACUACUCCUGUGGCUAGCAAGGCCCUGCAGGCCACCAGACCUGGGAGCAGACAGUAGCAUGAACCUGUAAGACAUGGACAUUGAUGGUCCUUGUAGGGUUUGCCUUAGAAGACACAGCUGUUACAUGGCUUCUCCGCCCCGACCUGGAGUGGACAGGCUUUCCCUGCUAGAUCUGUUUUUGCUCCGUCUGACUUGGGAGCCACCCAGAACAAAUCUAGAGUCUCAAAGUUGGGUUUGUGAGCAGGCCUGGGUACUCUUGGGGAAGAAAAGCUCAGGGCAGGGUGGGACCAGGAGAUUGAGUGAAAUGCAACCUGUGGGGGCUUAGAGAAAGAGCUGGGCUAUGUUCCAAGGAGGGGUCAGUUGGUUUCUUAUGCCCAGCAAUGGGUUUGGAUCUGGCCAAGGGCAGACAGUACCAUGUAACAAAGGAGUGAGAAUAUUAAAUGAAGGUAUUUAGUAAGCUUGCCUACAGCAAACCUGCCACGGUCUGGCCCUAGGUCUCAAUGGCUGUGACAGUUCUGUUACCCAUGCUGUCCCCAAUAAUGCUGGUUUCCUCAGGCAGUGGAACCUGGACCUUGAUAGGAGAGGACUCCUCAAAGGUACAUGGUGUGAUAGAAAACAUGAGCAUAGGCCCAGGGCCAGCAAACAAAAGUAGCCAGACAGGACACCGAUGCGUAUGCCCGGCUGCGUAAUACUAAAUCUUCACUCACAAACAAUCAACUUCUUUUUACUUAGGUCUCUGGUGUCACACCCUGUACUGAUGUUGGGAAAACGUUCACAGGCCAGGCCACUUAAGGCCCAGAGCCAUAGCCUUUGAGUGAUUCUGCAGCAUGGAGGCAGGUGCUCUGCUGUGGGGGUCACGAGUUCCUACCCACUGAAGCACACUCCUCGAAGGAAUAGGUCACUGAGGGAGGCCACCCACCCCAGACCAGAUGGGUGACAUUUGUGCUUACCGAAGGCAAAGGCAAGAAGAGAUUGCAUGGUAGUUCACGUGUCCCCUCUUACGGGAACAAGUCAGGGGCAGGCGUCCCCAACCCCAUCCCCUCUGCCCACUGCCCAUGCGCAGAGGCCACAUACUUACCCGGGCAAUAACACCAGAGAUGUACACUGUUGGUUUAGGAGGGCUGGAAAACAGGGAGGGGAAACGAGGAUUUAAUGAACGAUUCACACAAGGGGAAAAGGAGCAAAGUGACCACAGAGGAGACCAGAAUGAACAGUGGUGUCACAAGGAACUGACCUCAUCCCCUCUGUUACUUUGUCAACAACCAGGCUUCGAGGGAAGUGCAGGGCUUGGGGACACUUCUGAGGUUAGUCCAGGAAGAAUGAGGGUGGGAAUAGACUGCAGCAAACAGCAGCUGGAUUACCCAAAACGCUUUGCUGCUGAGAGUGAGAUUGUGAGUUUCUGAGACUGGAAACAGGGGCUUCCCUGAAGCAGGGCAGAAGCAGGCUUCUGGAAAUUUCUGACUGGAGAGACUCAGAUGCAAUGCAAACUCCUGGCCCUGCUGUCCCCUGUUCUCCAAGUAUCAUAAAGGCAAAGUCCUUAAGAAGCCACUGCUACUUAAAACUAAAAAAGAAAAAUUAUGUGUCUGGGCAUGUUCCUAUAUGAUCUGGGUACCCUCAGAGACCAGAACAGGGUGUCAGACCCUGAAACUGGAGGUGCGAUGUGAGCCACAACAUUGGUGCUGGGCAUUGAACCUAAGUCCUCUGGAAAAGAAGCCAGUGUUCUUAACUAUUGAGCCAACUCUUCUGCCUCACAACUUUAAAACUAAAUGUGUGUGUGUGUGUGUGUGUGUGUGUGUGUGUGUGUGUGUGUGUGUUGUCUCUUUCUCUCUGUGCUUUUGUGUGUGUAGGUCAAAGUCAACCUCAGGAGCAGUGCACUCGUGUUUCUGAGACAGGGCUCUUCUCUGGCCUGGAACCUGGUGAUGAGUCUGGUCAAGGUGGCCAGUGAGCCCCAGGGAUCCACCUAUCCGCAGCGCCCCAGCAUUAUGUGGUUUUUAAACUUUGUUGUUAGCACAUAUUAAGUAUAGGCUUUCGUUGUGUAAUCGUCAGUUCUUAGCAUCUUAUAUAUAGCUCCUUGUCAACAGUACCGAGGGAAGAAUAUAGCAUCAAAGUAACACAUGCUCACGGAGGGAAGAGACGAGCCCAGACCCGCUCAGCUGCUGUAAUCCCAUCUCACCACUGCAGUGGAUCUCUCUCCCGUCUUCCUAUGGGGCUGUUCACACUCUUUUCUUAUUAGUUUUUUUCUUACAGAAGUAGUCAUACUGUUUUUGAAUUUGCUAUCUGAGCUGGGAAUUUGCUGGGCAUAUCCAUAUCUGAGGUCCUGUUAUGUGCACGGAUUUGUUUUGGAGAGAUGCAUGGUGUAGUUUAGAAACACCGGGGUGAGUUGGAGGUAGAAUUUGAGGAACGGUGAACGAAUGUUCCCUGAAAGAGCCACGCCUGUGUUGGAGAUUCUGAGUCAAAAUGAUUUGGGGCUCUCCAGUCAUUUUAAAAGCCAUUCAUUUAUCCCCCUGCACCUGUUUUAACAUCCUUUUGGCUACUAGAUAGAACCUUUUGAACGGGUUAACUAAGCAAGACCAUUAACCUCUACCAACUCUGAGGCCAAGAAUGUAACAAUGUCUGAAACCUACAGCACAGGUGUUUUGCUAUGACCCCCUACCUUAUAUAACUGAUAGAUCCAUUGUCUCAAGUGUGCGCAUGGUGUGUGUAGAGGUCAGAGGAUAGCCAUGGGUGUCACCGCUAAAGCACUGACCACUCUUUGUCUGUCUGUCUGUCUGUCUGUGACAAGGCCUCUUGCUGGCUUAGAAUUUGUCAAGCAGGCUCAGCUGGCUGGCCAGCGAGUCCAUGGAACCUGCUUGUGUCCCCUCCCCAGCACUGGGAUUACAAGCGUACUCUACCACAUCUUGCUUCUGCACUGGGUUUUGGAACUCAAACCUUCAUGCUUGUAAGGCAAGGGCUUUACAACUGGCCUCUUUCCCCACUGCAGUGCAUUGACUUAUGCUGCUUCUGUGGUAGAACAAUUCACUGGAAGCGGUCUGAACUUGUGCUGCUGGAUCUUAUUCACUUCUGUUUGUCUGGGGACAAACUAUUUCCUAUUCCAUUUGAAGCAGGAACUGUGAUUUGUUCUGAUAGCAUUCGGGAGACACUCAGAGGCAGACUGGGGACGGGAGGUAAAGACAAGGCUGCAGCCCCAAAAGCCAGGGGCAGAACAUGGGGCUGAAGAGGCUCUUAGGAUGUGGUCAUGCUUAAGGCCAGGUCUGGAGGGCAGAGGUUGAGGAAGUACCCCAUGAGCACCCAGCCUGUCUCCUACAGCUCUGCUACUUGUCUGUGUUGAAGGAAGCCACGGUUAGGUUUUGUGUGGGUGCAGGUGAAGGACUCGGUAUUUAGAAAGUGUACCGCUGCUACGUCCUGAAGACUUUAGUAAAAAGCACGUGAAAUUCCUUAAGUGAUUUCUGUCACUCCAUGAGCUGAAGAAGCCUCAUCUUACCAAGCAACUCAGAAACAUCCUCGGAUCACUUGGCUUGUGUUUGUGGUGGGGCCAACUGGGUUGGGGUUUCUCUAGUACACAUUCAUUUAACUACAGAGGAGUCAGUCUGCUGAGUCCAAACCCCCUCGUGUAGUGAAGGGGCUACUGAUGUGCUGUCUCAGAACAUGCUGGUUACUUCUGGCACGAGCUGCAGGAAGGCACUAAGCCCAUCUCUCCUACAUGCAGCCAGCACUGAGGAGUCCAUAGGGGAGGAGCUGAUGUCCUGAAACCAAGGUGUGAAAGAAGUCAGAGAGAGGAAAUAGGACUGUCAUGAGCCUAAGCCCUUUCUGCAUCCCAAACUGUGCCUCUGCCUGUGUGAAUCUGGCUCCUUUGUCCAGCCCAAGAGCACACAGGAUAAGUGAGGGCAGACAGAGUGGACUGUACUCAGAUGCUCUGGGGUUCUCAGGGUCCAUCUGCUUCAACUGUUGACCCUGUCAAUGGGGGCUGCUGGGUGUGUCUGGGUGAUUUGAGGCUAAGAGGUCUGUGGACUAUGGACCCAAGAGCCUGAGGGCCAUAGACUGGACUCCAACAUUUUUCAAUCACUUGGAAAAGAAUAUAAAAUGGUCACCAUUCUGGAUGCCCUUCUAAAUCCCCAGGAGCAAGCUGCAGUAGGAGCGGUGUGGUAAUUAAUUCCACAUCAUUGUUCCCUAAGGCACGGCUGUGAACUCAAGGGUCCAACUGCGCAAUCCUUCUUGCUUUUGAUUUACUUUCUAAUGUAAGUCAAGGCACCUGAAGGCCAGAGCAGAGCAAACUCCUCAGGAGAACUGCACAAAAAAGUCAGCCUGGUAGGGAGUCAGGAAAGAAUUUGAAUAUGUGGCAGAGGUCAUCUCUCCACACCCACUACCAGAGUGCUAGGAGCAGGAAGCCUGAAACUCCCAGCCCAUCACACACAGACACACACAGACACACAGACACACAGACACACACAGACACACACACACACACACUACCCAAACACACAGACACACACUACACAAACACACACACAGAUACACACAGACACACACAGACACACACAGACACACACACACACACAGACACACACACACACAUACUACCCAAACACACAGACACACACUACACAAACACACACACACACAGAUACACACAGACACACACAGACACACACAUACACAUACACACACUACCCAAACACACACAGACACACAAACACACACACUCACACAAACACACACUACACAAACACACACUCACAUACAUGCAAACAUACACACAAACACACAGACACACAAACACUCAAACACACUAUACAAACACACACAGACACACACUACACAAACACACACACAAACACUCACAUAAACAAACACACACACACACACACAGUUAAAAUGGCUUGGAAUUCUGAAAGACUAUGUGACAGCUACCGCCCAAGUCUCCUGGAGACCAGGUUACCUGGGGCCUCCCAUCAGCACCUCUCCUGGGCAUCAAGGACAGUUGGUCAAGCCGCAACGAUGCCUUGGGUACCUUCAUCUACCUGCCUCCACUAUGUCCACUGUAGCCAUGGCAGUGGGCACUUGCUGAGUCAAGCAUGAUGGGUAGGCAGGGCUUUGCACUGUGACUGACAGGAGCUGUGAGAAUCAGGCUAGGAGGAAACGUGAUCUCCCUGACCUUUUCAUCACAGGGAGGCUGGGGGAGGGGCACAAUGGUCACAGGUUCUGAGGACCCACCGGAGACCCAAGGACAGCAUUGUCCUUGAUGGCCGAAUUCUAUAAAAGCAUCUGCUACUGGACAAGUCACUGCCUUAUCUCAGGAUACUCACAGGGACAGUGUCCUGUACAAUGCAGCUCCUUAGGUUGGGGGGAGCGCGUUUCUGGAACACUGCAUGUGAAACUGAGUAGAGGCGGGAAGAGGGAACGGAGGACAGCUUUCUCAACACUAUUGGCCUCAGUGGGGUACAGAUAGCCCGAGACCCCAUGGGAAGGAGUUUGAGAGGGAGUAAACAUUGCAAACUGGAGAGGGAAAUAUUAGAUUUUUAUAUUGGACUAACAUUAAAUAUUAAAAAUUAGUAAACACUAGAAACAUAAAGUAAAAAGUUCAAAGAUUAGGUUUUCAGAUACAUUUUGACCAUAUGUCUUUUUUCUUUAAAGAUGUAUUUAUUUUAUAUGUGAGUACACUGUCACUCUCCUCAGACACACCAGAAGAGGGCAUUGGAUCCCAUUACAGAUGGUUGCGAGCCGCCAUGUGGUUGCUGGGAACUGAACUCAGGACCUCUGGAAGAGCAGUCAGUGCUCUUGACCACUGAGCCAUCUCUCCGGCCUGACCGUGUGUCCUCAAUUGUGCUCUGAGCAGAGACUGUGGCACUCUGCAGCCUUAGCACUGUGGAGGCUGAAGCAGAAGUGCUGGAAGCUGGAGUUGGGAGGCCGUCUGGGUCACACGGUACACCCCAGGCCGACCCGGUCCCAAAACCAAACACAACGCACUCUUGCACUGUACGUCCACGGCACAGGCCUCGAGAUGAGCUCACAUCAAGACACUUGUACGUCCCAGUGCCACCAUGGUCUCUAGGGGCCACCGGGCUUUGCAUGCACAGUAAUCCUGCCACAAUGAUCGGGGAGACAUCUGUGGCCACGCAGCCACAGCAGGACUCAUCUGUUCUGGUGGGGAUGGUAUUUGUGACUCGGCCAAGAAGUUGGUGUGACCUAAGGUCUGUAGUCCCGGUCGAAGGAAUUCAGAACGGGAAGUGUGGAACUUUCAUUGUGAGCAAGAAGGUCAGCUGGUUCUGACCAGGCAGCAGGGACAGUACCCAGCUACAAUCUAAAAAGCAAGCAUCCUGAUUACUCUGGGGACAACGGAUGGCCACGCCUAAAACCUCAGACGCAUCUGAUGCUAAUAUAAAAGAAAUUACCAAGCCGAGCGUUGCGACACACAACCUGAAUCCCAGCAUUUGGGAGGUGGAGGAAAGAGUUCAAGGCCAGUCUGGAAACAGGAAAGUGCCCUAAAAACAACAACAACAACAACAACAACAACAACAACAACAACAACAAUAACACCCUAAACCUAAAACAAAACCAAACGAAAAAUAAAUAAGUAAAUAAAUAAAUAAUUUUUAAAAAAGGUACCAAAAUAAGUAGGGGAAUCCUCCACGCCCAGCGUGUUUGCAGUAGAUUCCUGCUUUAAGAUGCAGGAAGUGUUCAGAGUUCUGCUGUCUGUGCAGGUCUUCCGGGAGGGAUGGGAGAGGCUUGCUCUUCAGCCAAGUCCUUCUAAAAGCAGAGCUCUAGACCUUCUAAGGUGGCUUUGAAACUCUAACUAGUUUGGCAGUUUUGUCCAUUUUGAAGCACCCAGUUCAGUGAGGUACAGAGCGCGCACCAUGUCCUGCUAGCGUGCUCAUCUCCCCAGAGGCCCUGUCUCCUUCAGAGAGUCAGCUGCCCCCUCCACACUGCCUGGUGGUGCCACCUAAGGCAUGGGGCUCUUGCUAGGCAGGGUCUGUUGCUGAGCGAUUGUCUCUUACAUUUGUAAAGUAAUUCUGAACACUUGCAGGCAGGGUAGCUUAAAAGCUCAUGACUGAGGGACCCUGCAGCACGGUACAGAGCUCGAGUUGAGAACUCCUUGGCUCCAUGAUUGAUAACCAUAGUCUUCUACAUACAUAGGUUCUACAGUCACAGAAACCACUUUGGGGCUUCCUUUCCUUUGACAGCAGUCCUUCUGACAGAAACUGUUUGGAAGGCUCGCCCUUAUUUUCUGUCAGGAAACAACUGUCGCUCCUGCCCUUCCUUGGCCUCAAGCUCUCCAAUCUUUAAAAUCACUUAUUGAAGAUUUUUGAGGAACUGUGGGCCAGAAGGAAGUAGUUCCCAUUAGAGCUGGGAGUGCUUCCUGGCCAUUGCUGGCCGCUGCUUUGUCCUUCUGGGUCUGGAGCAGCUGCUCAGUGUCCUGCACUCAGAUCACCGGUUUCCCAGUCUAGGACCACGUCGAACUCUCGACAGGGUCAACUGAGCCACACGUCCGUCCUCCGUCACUCACUACACUUUUCUGUUGAACACUUACACAUUCUGCCAUUUCUCCGUAUCUGCAGAAGGCAGGAUAAAACACCCACAACGCCCAGGGGCACAGUGACCUUAUGGCAUGCAGACAUAAGGAAGGCUUACAUCACAUCCUCCUAAUUGCCCUGAAUCCUAGCAUAGCAAUUUGUGAAAUCAGUUUCAAUAUUUUACUUAAUUAUAUACAAAAUGCUACCAUCCCAACGUGUCAUGAACAUUAAAAUUUACUGUUGACUUGAUGUGAUUUUUUCAUGUUCAUAAGCUCCCUUGUCAGUAAUAAUCUCUCUGAGAAGCUAAAGUGACAAGCUGUCUCCACAGAGAGGGCCAGACAGGAUUCUGAUGAUGACUGUCCUAACUUCCUGCCCUAUGGAGUAAGGUACACGGUGCCCAGUAGAGAUUUCUCCCAGGUCCCACCGGUACAGGACAUCGGUUUUAGGCUGCUCACCCAUGGGCACUGUGGCCAUUUUAUCUUGCCUAACGAAUUCUUUUAUUUUAUUAUGCUCUCUCCCUCAUCUGCAUUUCACUGUGGUGUGAAGUUCCCCCCAGAGCCUCACCAGGUGCCUUUAAUACCCACUGGGCGGAGCCAGGCACCUGUGUUUCCAUACUCGGUUCCCCUAAGCUGUAGAGGGCAGGUAAGCCUGGGCAGCCAGCCAUGGCAGUAGCAACAACUAAGCGCCUUCCUUCAUACAGGCUCUGUUGAGAGCUUGUGCGCCUGGAGCUCUGUGUUCAAUGCCCUGCCCAGCCUGGGUUUCUAGCUAAUAAUGUGAGGUCCUUUAACUCUGGGGGCACUUCUACUUUUAAAGCUGCCGAGUCCUUGUCAUCCAAAAUAGAAUUCUGUGUGGUCCUGGACACUCAGGUUGUCCUUCCCAAGCAUCCUUGGGUAGGAGAGUCACCAUGUCAAAGCAUCUGUACACAUGUGUGUCUGCACACAUACAUACACACACGUCAGAGAGAGUGAGAAGCCAGGAAAGCUGACCUGCCAAAAGUCAAAAAUGGUAACCCAGGCGUUCUGGACUUUCAUUAAUAGAACCAUUCCCAUGUUGGUGGUUUUCUGCAAAAGCUUUCUCUCCUCCAUUCACCUAAGCCCAAGCAGCAGGAUCCACACUGCCUGAAGGCUGCACAGCAGGUAAGUGCUGGGAGCCAGACUCAGACCCACCCUUGUGCAGGGCCCAUGACCAACCUUAUAAGCCCCGCAUGCUGAGUUUGGCAAGCCUCACACUUUGGAGUAUCAUCUUCUGUAUAUGACAUAAAGAUGCAGCUGUUUUAGGUUAGUAAUUUAAAUGUAAUCCAUGAGUCCCCUAUUUGACAGAAUUUAUUCAAAUCUAUUUAGACAUUUGCUUUCUGACUUUGCAAUUUUUUUUCUUUAUGUCAUAAGUGGCCAUUUAACCAACAUCCAAAGAACUCAUGAAUAGGUUACUAAGUCAUCCGACCCUCCCCAGCAAGUGUUAUUUCAGUCUGAUGGAGGAAGUGCCAGGCCUGAGAGGCUGCAGGCUUAUUCUGAAUCCUGGUGCUGAGCUUUUAGGGGCUCUUGGGCCAUGCUCUGGCCACACUAAUCUUCCCCUGUGUCACAAGCAGCUCAAUUCAUGAGCUUCAGGGGAGUGAAAGCUCCAAACUAUGCACCAAAUCAAAGGACAGGAGAGUAAGGACAGGAUGAAAGGUGGCUUCUGGUUACCAGAAGGUGGGGUUAUGUUCUCAGAUCGAUCAAUUGGUAGGGUGUGACUUAACCUUUCUGUGGCUUAGUUUCUCAUUCUGUAACAAGGAUGAGCAACACACCCUACCUCCUCAAUUGCUUGUAUGGAAGUGCAGCACACUCACAGCUUAGCAUAUAGGAUGCAUACCAUAAGUCAGCUGCUACGAUGACAAGAUGGGGGUAAAUGAAGAGAAGACAGCACAGUCAGUCCCACUAGUGAACACUGCUAGUGCAUGUCUUAUGGCUACUGGACGGGUGGGGAUCAUAUGGACUGGGGAGGACAUCAUGGUCCUUCAGAGGGGCUGCAAAAUCAUGUCCAUAUCUCAGCUGAAUGCACCUUCCCACAUGUCAGGCAAAGCAGAUGUGAAAGCUAUUACCUGUGUGGGGCUCAAGUGCAGGGAGGGCUCAGGGGUCCCAGGCAGGGAUUAGGGUGGUGCUAAGUGCCUGGGGUGGACACAGUUGUACUGCUCAGGUCUCUGGGGACUGUGUGCCCAUGUGCGUGCGUGCGUGCGUGCGUGCCUGUGUGUUGGGGUGGGACAGCUCUGAUUCAGGAUGUCACAGUUGAGCUCUGUAAGUAUGGACAUCUGUGACUGAUCUGAGGACUCCAUACUGAGGUCAGGGCUCAGUGGUGGGAAGAAACAGCUUUUGUCAGGACAAACGGAAAGAGACCAGGCGGCUGCGGGGCUCACGGAAUACGCUCUUCUUAGAUACCUUCUGCAUGGAAACAGUUAGGACGACUUGGAAGCAAAUCCUGGAGCUUUAUUUCAGCUUUGUUUAGAACCUGUGGCCUCGUGUGCUCCCAGAAGUCCCACCUGGGGUGUUUCCUGAAGCAUCUCGCAGCAAACAGAUGGAAGGCGAGUCCUUUCCUGCCUCUCCCCGUCCCUCUCAUAGCUUCCUGGCCUGGUCGUCUAUUAUUGAGGUUAUUAAUUUCACAGACGCCUGAACAGUCAUUAGCAUGGCUGGGGAGCCGCGGCUACUGUCUCACUCCACUGCACCCAGACAGGGCUCUGUAAAGGCAUUCUUCAAAUCUGCCGGCUACGGCCGCUUCCCUGCCUCAGCCUGAUGUCCCCACCAGAUGGUGCUGCUGGUCCUUUCAGAACUGGUGAAGGCUGUGGUCAGACAUAGCUUCUGGAAACCCAGUGUCCCCUGUGGCCAGCGGGUAGCUACUAAGGAGGCACUGCCUGUCUGGUGAGAACUCCACCCGGGUACUUCCAGUGUGACGAACCUGAUAGAAGGACCCGCACCUGCCUUAGGUACAUGGAAUUGUUGUGUUUUUCAAGAGGACAUGAGCAGGUGCUAGGCUAGCAUAUACAUGUAACUCAUGUUCAGUCUGGUUACAGUGAGGAGUUUUGUCACUGGAAUUAGUCCUAAGUGUCCGUUCCUUCCUGUAGACAUCCCAAAUUCAGGGCCAGCCUGUUUUUCCAAGGGUUCAGAGGUGGCCAGGACAAGGGUUGCACAUGAUACAGCAGCUCCUGCUUGAGGCUAUAACGUGCUCACUGGAUCUUGAGGGUCCAGCCUAAUCUACUUGUUCUACACAAGGGAAGCUAAACCUUCCAGGGCUGAAUAUGAGACUACCCUGGCUUCUAGUUAAUGCCUCUCUACACUCAGGACAGUGUGAGAGCUACCAGCUGCUUCAGGAGGGGGUGUGGUCCUCACCUUACCUGUGGACAGUUCCAGAAAGUUGCUCUUGGGCUAGGCUCUUUACAGUCAGAAACUCACAUCCCUACUGUUCCUCCUGUUUUUACAUCCUUCCCUUCAUUCCUUUCACAGAGGACAGACAUCAGUGCUACUCCAUGACUAAUAUUUCCUCUUUGUAGUGGUUUGUAUAUGCUCGGCCCAGGGAGUGGCAGUAUUAGAAGAUGUGGCCUUGCUGGGGUAGGUGUGGCCUUGCUGGGGUAAAUGUGGCCUUGCUGGGGUAGGUGUGGCCUUGCUGGGGUAAGUGUGGCCUUGUUGGGGUAGGUGUGGCCUUGUUGGAGUAAGUGUGUCACUGUGGUAUGGGCUUUAAGUCCUCUUCCUAGCUGCCUGGAAACCAGUAUUCUGCUAGCAGCCUUCAGGCGAAGAUGUAGAACUCAGCUCCCCCUGCACCCUGCCUGCCUGGAGGCUGCCAUGUUCCCACCUUGAUGAUAAUGGACUGAACCUCUGAACCUGUAAGCCAGCCCCAAUUAAAUGUUGUCUUUAGUUGCCUUAGCCAUGGUGUCUGUUCACAGCAGUGAAACCCUAACAAGACACUCACAGACUCCAUAUGCAGGAAUGAUCUUGGUGGUCAAGAGUCACUACAUUCAUCCCACCACAGAGGAGAGACCCCUGGGCACGCAAGCCCAGCACUGCUUUCCCACAGUUUUUAACUACUCAGAAGCACAGAGCGCAGUGUGUGAAUGGGCACUGGAGGGCACAGGUUAUGGAGACAGAGGUUCUGGGUUCAGAUGGGGAGCCUCUUGGCCUCAUUAUCUAUCUGUAGAAUAGGAAUGAGAUCCACCUCAUGCAAUAGCUAGAAGUUUAAAUGAGUAGCCCACAUCUGUCCACAAGCUCACGCUUUGUGGCAACAAUGGAGUUAAUUUUGUUUUCUGGACUGGGACAUAAGAAUUUCUCCUGGGGCCUGGAAGGAUGGCUCAAUGGCAAAGAGGACCCAUGUUUGGUUCUCAGUACCCACCCUGGGCAGCUCACAACCACCUGUAAUCCCAGUCAGAGGAUUCAAUGCCUCUGGUCUGAGGGGCAACUGCAUUCAUGUGCACACACAUAUAAGAAAAGUAAAUCUUUAAACAGGAAUUUUCCUUCAUUCCUUCCUUUUCUGUCCUCCUCCCUCAUUUUUUCUUGACUAGAGCAUUUUAGGGCUUCCCAGCACUCAUCUGAGGAGUGUCAGGAUACCCACUGGGUCCUCCCUCUUCACCCUAAGCAUCACUGGUACCCGAGGACUGGCAGGAAUUAGGAGAAAGGCGCCUCCAGCUCUCUGAAUGUGAAGCCCCGUCUGCCCUACUCCCAGCACAUUCUGUACUCCCAAUAGGACAAGCUGCCUUCCUUUGUCAGUGUUCCAGGGAAGACAGUUUUUAGGAAGAAUGUGGACCAUCACCAAAGGUAGAAAUGCACUUAAAAACAAGCCAGGUUGGAAUGUGCCCUAUCACACGACAGCGUGGGAGCAAGAAGCUGAAGGGCAGAGUCCCUGCUAGUUAGCUCCAGGGCCCUGGGGUGAAGGCUUUUGGUUGGUGGAAGGCAGUCCCUGUACAUGCUGAGUCAGGAGCUGGACCUGUCUGUAGUAGUGAAGUCUGGAGAGACUCCUAGAAUUGGGUAGGAACUGCAUACGUGAUGUUACCCCGAGCAGCCUGAGAAUAAUCCAUGUGAUCAUCAGCCUGUGUGUAAAACUGUACGUGCAUUAAAAGCUUUACAAGCUACUUGUAAAUUUCAGUAAGUAACACACUUGAAGCUAUCCCGUCUUUGAUUCUGAAAGCAGGGAUGUUUUUAGGUGCAUUCUUUUGAAUUUCAAUUACGAGGAAGGACCAGGGAACAGUCAAUGCUGAUUAGGCAGGUGCUGGGGACUCGAGUAUUAAUCAUUCCAUCUGGAAAUAAAAUUCAGGCUCAAGGGUCACGCUUUAUGGUGGGUGAUUCCUGGAGGUGGGGGUGUCCAGUUCAAAGGACAAAGUGUGUAGCUUUGGACUGAACUGAACGGUGGCUCUUAAAAGGAGAGGAAACUGACAGGUCCUGAUAAGACUGCCCACCAGAAAGGAUGAGAUGGUCAAACCCAGACAACCUUCCACAUCUGCACCCGCUCACAUUUCUAGAGCAACAGUCUUCAGGAAUCACAGCCCAGCAAUGAGGGAAAAAUGAUGUUUUCUCCUCCUCGGGGCCCCUUCUGCCAAGCACUAGGCUAGGAAGCUAUGCAUCUAGCAAGAACCAAAGCAUGGCCAAGAGGAUAUCACAGCUGGGUCAAAGUCUGGCACACAGAGUAUACACCCAGUACGAGGGCUCUCUGACUUCUUUAUUGCUGGUUCCUCAGAACCAGGUAUCUGUAACCCUGUCCAUCACAUGUAGCGGAGAGGGAUUUGGUGAGUGGAGAACAUCAGUCACCUCCAGCUUCUAAGACGGCCGAUCAGAUGCUGUUCUGGUCCGGAGAUAUGCAAACUCGAUGGCUGCCUGUGUGGAGAUGCAACUUAGGAACCUCCUUAGAUCACAGCACGCACUUGGGCCUUUCCCAGAAUUAGCAGAAAAGAACAAAGUAGUUAAAAAAAAAAACCAAAAAAACAAAAACAAAAAACAAAACAAAACAAAAAAACAACGCAUCACUAAUUUUGCUCCCCCUUUUAAAAAGCUGCUAGUGAAGAGGACGACUUCCCUAUCACAAGCUGCCCUGCUACUCUCACGUCUACAGCAGGCUGGGUGGUGGCCAGGAGUAAAGCACGCAAGGCUGGGCUGGUACAGACUGGAAUCAAAGCCCCUCAGUCUGGCUCUGUGUACACUUGGAGCCUCAGGCGGAGCUGCCCCUCUCUACCCUGAUAUGGACCAGACUCGAUGCUCCUUGAUCUUUUUGCGCUAAUCAAUAUUUAGGGCCCUAAGGCUGUCUUCCUGUGCUCAUAAUCCAGGAAGUGUUUGUGCUACCUCUGGAGUGCUUGCUCCCUGUCCAGUAGCUGGAGGGACAAUGGAUGUCAUCUCCCCCCUUAUCCUAGCAAGAAGACAGUCACCUCCACCAGGGACCCUGUUCACAGGUGGGGAAAAAAGACUGUUCCCGAAGGGCUCCUUUAAGAUCAAGAGGCCACGGAAGCAAACUGUGAGGUCUGCCAGAAGCUGAGUCGGAAGGACAUUCUAAUUUCCCAGAAACAACAUUGUUCAGUUUCAAUGUGGCUGGUCUCUGUGGCAACCAUGAAAAAGCUGAGUAUGUCCUUGAGAAUAGACAAAAUGUCCAUGAGGCAGAGCCUGAUGUGAGAUCACCUGUCCCAUGAGAAGCACCGGGAAGGAGACACCCCAACUGUCCUAUGGGUGAGGUGUCCAUUCCCUUACUCCAACCCCAGCAAGCUAUUUUUGGGCUACAGGAGAACCAUAGUAUCUCUGUGAGUUUGGCAAAUAUAGGUGUCUGGUGUUGAAAGAAGGAGGAAGGGCAGUACUCAUACUCUGAGUCAUCCAGAGCCCUCCUCGCCCUCCCUGUCAGUCGCUCUGCUCCUUGGGAUGUCUCCUUCCCCGUGCUUUCCCUGGGACAGUUCACCUCACCAAUUAUGUAGUCCAGCUUUAUUGUUGUAAAGUGAGAAGGCAGAAGAUGGACCGAGAAGCACUCUCAAAGGCUGAAAGAGACCAAGGCCAGCAGGCAAGGCACAACGGCACUAGUAUUUGGGCUCCAGUUUCCCUUAUAAAAGAAGGAGCCAAGCAUCCUCUCUGGAGCUCAGAGUGACCUGGGAAAUAUCAAGUCAUCUCCACGUGUGAGGUGUGACUCAGGGAGACACCUACUAGUAAGGGAUACGAAGGUGGCAGAUUCCAGAUGACAGGAGCGGUAGAGGAAGCAGAGAGCCUUGGCCCUUGGAGGCAACAGGGCUGCAGGAGCAGCGUGGCCCUUCUGGUGCUUUACAGAAAGGACUGAGCCCACAGCGGCCCGGCAGUUCCUCUGCAGAGCUGAGACAUAAUCAGGGAGAUGGCCACAGCAUAAACAGGACAGGGAGGAGAAGCCCUGGGCUGAUCCCUCAGCUGGAUAGAACACGCAUACAGGAGACAUUCAGGUUAAAUAGAAACUUAUUCUUAAAGCAGCUAGAGGAGAAUUCAUAUUUAUAAUCCUUUUCUUGAGAUGGUGUUUAUGAAUGGGUCACACUAGAAUGUUCCCUCCUCCACUACGGCUGGGAAAAUAUCCAUUCAUAUUCCCAUUCAUUCUCUCUCUCUCUCUCUCUCUCUCUCUCUCUCUCUCUCUCUCUCUCCUCCUUCCCCUCCCCCUUCGCCCUAUCCAUUCAUCCAUUCUGAGUGAAGAAAGUAUAAGAUGGGCCAGGCUGCAUUACAGGAGUUUCUGAAUUGUCACCGCUGUCACCAAUGCGCUGAUGACAUUUGCCAACAAGCACAGCAAGACUGAAUGAUGAAGAACGCAAACUAGGUCGGGGCUAAAUGUGAGCAAGGGGCAGGGAAUUGCCAGGGAUGGGGAGAAGGCAGGGUCAGUGAUAGCAGCUCCUGGCUGGGAGCUGUACCUUGCCUGUGGAGCUCCAGAGUGGUCCUGGUGUAUAGAGCACAGCAGUCAGUCUGCAGGGACUGUGCUCCCCUCAAGGCAUCCAUAGUCACUGAGCUAACUCUAGUAUACACUACGGUCUUGGGUGCUGUGGACUCAGGGACAAAAAUACAGUGUUGACCUAAUGAAGUACAAAUCAGGAAGGUGCUGGGAUCUAAGGGAGAGGUAGACUCAGGGCAGACUCAUCCACUUUAUGAAAGCACUCCCAAACCCUGCUGUCUCUCUGCUGACCAGCAGAGGGAGAAGACACUAUUCGAGGGGGCCUUGAGUCUUCUGCAGGGUGGCCAUGCCUCCACACGACAGUCUGGGGUCCUGGGUCUGUCCAUGUGUAAAGAUCAAGUGUCCUCUGUCAUCCUCAAAGGCACAUCACACUGAACACACUUGUAGGCCAUUCUAAGUUGAAACACAAGUCUAGAAUGCUCCUCACCUUUACUCCGGCUGGUAAGACUUCCAUUUUUCUGUGGAGCCAAUGCUCACACUCCCUCUCCCUAUUCUGACCUUGAUAUUAGAGCCAGCUGGAAAAUACCAACGUCAAAGGCGACCACACAUGCUACCCUUCUGGUACUUUCCCUGACUCUCCAAGGGCAGGACUGAUGCACUUCCAGCUGUGUUUCCCUAAGAAGCUCCCACUUAACCACAACACGAUGAAGGCCUCUAGACCCUGGCUCCUUCUGAAGGUCAAGGACUAUGGGGAGUUUGUGAACCCAGUGCCCAGGACACUGCUCGGUGCACACAUAUGUUCCUCAGAUGCUAGGACCAUCCUCGGAGAGUGACAUUAAACUUAAAAGGUUUUUCGUGGCACAGAGUUAGUUAAGGAACCAGAGGUGGCUGACCCCUGCUCACUUCUGAGAAUGGUAUGUAGAUAGUUGUGUGCUGUUAGCCUCAAAGGCCUGCCCUGAGCAAUGGGCUGCUACUCUAGAGCCCGAGAGAACGGGUUCUCACUUCUGCUCAGUCUGGUGACUUUCACAGUGAGCUUGGGCUAAGGAGAAUCUCUUCCCAGAACUGGGGAAGACGGGCGGGGCCGGGAGUUGAAUCCAUGAUAGAUAGGGACAUUAGGUGGGGGCAGAAAGGAAGAGAAGGACACAUUGUGUAUCUACUCAAGAGACUGAGUUAAAUAUACUAGGAAGUAACCUCCUCUCCCUGUCGUAUGCUGACUCAUGGCACUGGCCAGCAGUGGCUCGGUUUCUUCAUAGGAUUCUUGCUGUAUGUUCCUAAAAGUCUGGAUUAGUUCUGAAAGUCCAGAUGACCAGCAUCAGACUCUGGCAGAGACGUUUAUCAUGUAAAGAAAUUGAUGUCAUUCAUGACUAGGAACCCAACUUAAAGCGAAGAACAGUGCAUCCAAGGCCUGCUCCCAAGACAGAGAUGUACGGCUAGCCUUGUCUUCAACUGGAAAUCUGGGGUACCCUGUCUCCACAGCCAGCGUCUCUAACAACAAAGACUCCUUUCUUACCUGGGACACCUUCCAACUACUGGGCCUAGUUAGCUGUGUAGAGACAGGAGACAGCUGCUUCCACAGGUCUCUCAUCUGUUUUGUCGUACACAAAAUUGAAGGAUAGGAUACUGGAUGUUUGUGUGCUGAUCUCCAGGGCUCAGAGGAGAACCCGGCUCUUUCUCUACUUGUAGCAGCCCUGCCUGUGGGCAGGGAACACGCUCGGACUCCUGUGGAGCUGAACUUAGGGACGAGUGUGUGGGAGUCAACUUUAGAAUUCUGGAAGUGUCACUUUGAGAGAGUAACCUGGUCGAGUUAGCUCCAAAAAGACUCCCCUAACAAUUAAAAGCAAUAGACUGAAGGAGCCAUACGGGAUGAAUAAAUUAUUAAACUACGAGGAAGUUGCUAUAAAUAUGCAUGCAACUCAAUAAUUCAUAAUGGACGAGUACAACAAGGCUCAGCUGGCUUUAACAGCAGCUAGCAUCUGGGGGCAUGUGCCAACGGCCUCUUGACAGACAAGCCUGGGUGCAGGGGUGUGCGGAGCUUUCUGCCUUCUGGAGAGAAGCCCUCAGCACUCACGCCAUGCCAGUGAGGAGCGCUGGAGACCUGAGAACCUUUUUUUUUUAAAAAAAAAUAUUUUCCAUAUUUUUUAUUGGAUAGUUUAUGUAUUUACAUUUCAAAUGUUAUCCCCCUUUCUGGUUCUCCUUCUCCUCUCCCCCUCCCCCUGCUACUAGGAGGAUGCUCCCUGUCCCACCCACCCACUCCCAUCUUAACACCAUGGCAUUCCCCUACACUGGGGAAAAGAGUUUUCACAGGACCAAGGGCUCUCCUCCUAUUGAUGCCACACAAGGCCAUCCUCUGCUACAUAUGUGGCUGGAGCCAUGGGUCCUUCCAUGUGUACUCUUUGGUUGGUGGUUUGGGGGGGGGCAGGGGUCUGGUUGGUUGAUACUGCUGUUCUUCCUAUGGGGUUGCAAACCCCUCAGCUCCUUCAGUCCCUUCUCUAACUCCUCCAUUGGGAUCCCUGUGCUCAGGCUGAUGGUUAGCUGCAAGCCUUUUUGCUGAACUGAGGGCCAGAGCACAUCCUUCACUCAGGCCAGGAAAAGUACAGUUAGCUCUCAGCUCCCUGCCUCAGUUUCCAUUGCAGCUCCAAUCUCUUGUACCAGGAACCACUAGGACUUCCAGAACUCUGUUUAUCAAUUAAAAAAAAAAAAAGGUUUCUUAUUACCAGUAUGUGGGAGGCGGGACAUGUGUAUGCUGCAGUGUGCAUGUGGAGGUCAGAGGGCAACUUUUGGGAACUGGUUCUUUUUUCACAUUCUUGAGACAAGCUAUCUGUUGUUGGGGCUGCUCUGGGAUACUCCUGGCUCGCUAGUUCAUGAACUUCUGAGUCAUUCUCCGGUGUCCACCUCCCAUCUUGCUGUCACAGAUGCUACUGCGCCAAGUUCUUUGGAGAGGCGAGUUCUGAGGACUGCGCUUCGUUUGUGAGGCUUGCAAGUGCUCUUACUAAGCCACCUCACUGGCCCUGAGUUUCUCAAAUUUUACAAAGGGAACGUGUUCUGUAAGGGUGAAGGGUACCCUUAGGGGAAGGACCUUCACAGAACCCCACGUUUAAACUCAUUGAUUCAUCUACAGGAUAAAUAAAGGCUCACCUCGGUGGCACCUUCGUGAGCACGUGCAUUUGAGCAUGGACAUGUGGAGACAGACUUCCGAGCCAUCUGCAUGGCUCCUCUGCCUGCCCUGGUGAUGCUGCCUUUCCGCUCUCUGGAUCCUAUGUGUUUCUCUGUCACUACCCCACCCGUUAAGUCAGAGGAAUGGACCUGGCAGAGACACGAUGGUAGAACUGUAGGGAGGCAAACAGAACCGCGGGCCUUUCCCUUGGAUUGUGUGGGAACUUACGCAAGUCCCACACAAUGAUCUGCACAGAGCCAACACUGGCUUCUCAACUAAAGACACCUGCCAUGCGGAGGGAGGGGGUGGUACGGCCGCCAGCCUCGGCUUGCUCCUUCCUGCACUGACAUCACUGAGUACAAACACUGUGGCUGUGGCUUUUCGGUCUUUCACUGAUGUCUGUGCGUGUCUGCUCACCGUCCCCUGGCCUUCAGGUGUAUGCAUGCCAGGAACACACAGCACCCAUGCAGAUGAGGCAGAUCUAGCCUGUGGCCAUAGGACUCUGGGUAUCUGCUGCAGGUAUGACCUCAGGAUGGUGGCCCAAGACACCUAAUUGUUGAUCUCUUUGGUCUUAUGGUGGGAUCGCUGGGACCCAUGGUCACCAAAGUUUUAGGAAUUCUGCUUCCUUAUGUGUCUCUUGCAGAGAGUGGACAGACAGACACACAGAAAGACAGACAGACAGAUACACACCAAGUUAAAGAAAAAAAGCUGCCUAUUGUUACAUAAGCAGUGACGGAGGGUCAGGAUCCAAACUCUCAGAGUCACCAGAGACUGGGCUUCUAGCCAUCGAUGAUGCUCUUCAAAAUCCAAGGCCUCAGAUGCAGCACAGUGUCUGCUAAGCUACAUGAAACACCCCCAGGCUCACUGCUGAAGGACUGGUCCCCAGUUAGCAGUGCUAUUUUUGGAGGCUCUGGAAACUUGUGAGAGGCGGAGGCCGGCUGGAGGAAGGUCACUGGGGCAUGCUCUAGGGCUGGCCCUUGUUCCCGCCCUCCCUCUCUGCCUCUUAUCUACAUGUUCCUCCUGCCGUGAUGCUCUCUCUGCCUCACCUUGGAUCUAGACCCAACGAGCCAAGGACUAUGGAUGGAAACUGUGAGACAAAGGAAAUACCUCCUCCUUUUAGCUUGUUUCCUUUGGCAUUUGUCAUAGUAAUGGAAAGAGUGACAAUUGCACUGUAGGUCUGUCAGGAAGGUGGAUCGUGACAACAGAAUGGCUGUGACCACCAUAACAUAACAGGUCCCCAGAACCUGGAACUAAACACACCAUAGCACAGAAGGGUGGUGUGCUCCUAACAGGACUGUGAGCUUUCUAACAGACUACAGCUUAGCUCUUUCACUAAUUUGAAAUUUGCGUUUGCUAGGGGAAGGGCUACAGGAGGAACAGGCAACAGGAGGAAGAUGGCAGGAGAAUAUUAAAAACUCUUAAGAAAACUAGACUUUGGAAGGGAAUUAGAAACAUCCUAUAAUAAUCUGCGGAGUAACAAUUGAUAUGUUUAUUAUAAACACUUCUGCUGGUGCAUCAAUCACGUUUCCCUGAGACAGACUUGAGGUGCAGUGUGAUAUCAAAGGGAGUGCCGGGCCGCUUUCUCUGGUCUGCAGAAACAGACCACACGGCCUCUGGUUCGGUAGCAGCAGGGGCUGCUGAGGUCUUGCACCGUGAGGGCAUAUCUUGACAAUGGUUAUUUGCAGUUGAAACACAACACACAUGGUCUACGAAGACAGAGAUGAGCUGCUUGCCAUGGAAGACAGAGGCCCAGGUCCAGCGAUGCAUAGCUAGCUGUCCUCUUUUUACCACGUCACUCUUGCCCAGAUGUAGUGGACUCCCAGACAGGGGUUUGGCAAUCAGAUAAGACAGUACACAGUCGCCACAUUUGGAGAAGGUUUUCACACGCUCUGUCACCUCCCAGGUAUGAUCAGAAGUGUUCCGGGAUACUGCUGGAAGGUGUUGAGCGGUAGAUAGAGCAGCACUGUUGGGUGCAAAGAACUGUGUGGCUUUCUCUAAGGCAAGGGCCUCCCUUUAACUAGGCCCCAUGCUAUGGCACACUGUGUGUGAACAGGAGGGAGUCUGUCUGGUGCCCACGACUCCCUGACUAUGACACACAUUUUAGAAAUGCUUGUUAGGGCCAGUGUACCAAGAUGCUGGCUUCAGACAAUGCAGUACAAAGCUCGUUCUUGGCCCUGUGCCUGGCUCAGUUGGAGUCUGGGGCAGAUGGUGCCUCACUGGAACCUGUGGCCUGGCCAGGGAAAAAUGCCCAGGCUGUGGUAAAAGUGAGUCAGGCUGGAAACCUAGGCUGCUUGCCAGCUGCUGUACCUUUAUGUUUUCAACUCAGGUAGUCCCAGCCCCAGCCCCUCUCAGGGGAACAACCUGAUAGCUGUGGGUAGAUGAGUUGGUCACAGCUGAUAAGACAUCAAUGCACACCCACUGCUGAGAAUGACCAGUGACCACCACCCAUAAAAUGCCGCAUCUUUCCAUGUGAGAGAUUUCUAUUUUAUUUCAUUUCUGACCCAGAAAUUCAGGCUCUAGGGGACAGGAUGUCUUUCCACCGUCACAGACCUGAGGCUAACAACACCUAAAGCUUCCUUCCCUAGCCGUGCACCCACCAUGCUGCACCCUGCCCCCGGGGUUGGCGGGGAUGCUGGACAUCAAGAAUAGUCCUUCCAGCCAGCCAGCUGCUCAGUGUACUCAGAGCAGUCCCAGAGCCAAUGAGGCAGCACUGGCUCCUCACUCAGGACUGACUAGGGCAGGGAGAGAUGGCGAGUGGAAAAAGCAGACAGGGGCUGACUGACGGCUGGAAGGCUGGGGACACUCACUGCACAGGGAGCUCCCUGGUCUGCUCAGUGUUUUCUGAUUGAAAAUGGAGAGGCGAAUUGAGCCUGGCAGUGGCCCUACAUCCCUCGGGCUCUGCUCUACCCUGAGGUGUACAAACCAGCCAGUGACGAGUUCCCAGGUGACAUCCGUUGACCUUGCUACCCACUAGUGAUAAUGUCCCGAGGACCUGGCAAAUGACUUCCUUUUAUUUUGGUGGAGCUGAGGUUUUCCCAGCUUGGUGCAUGCCGGGAAAACAUCCCGACCACUGAGAUACAUCCCUAGCCACCCAAAAAUAUUCUUUGAAAAUAAUCUUAUUUUAUCAUUUGUUUGAUUUUAUGUGUAUGGGACUUCUGACUGCAUGUAUGUCUGUGCACCACAUACAUGCCUGGUGACCUUGGAGACUAGAUGGUGUUAGGUCCUCUGGUACUGGAGUUAAGAAUGGUUAUGAACUGGCUUGUGGGUGCUGGGAAUUGAAUCUGGUUUAUCUGGAAAAGCAGCAAGUGCCUGUAACUGCUAAGCCAUCUCUCUAUCCCUGCCCCCAAAUACUUGUUGAAAUAGCUUUUAGGUCAAAACCAGGUAGACAGCACCCCCCCCAGCCCCCAGAAAUAUGGUAAUGCUUAGGUACAAGCAUCACGGAGCAAGUGGGUUAGAUCAGGUUUGGAGGGCCGGCUCUCUGAGGCCAUGGGAAGAAGAUAGCAGGCUGCGGCAGGCAGGGAGGAUGUCAGCCUAGCCCAUCACCUGUGCCCCAACCACGAGACCCACCAUGGGAUUUCAACAUGAGCUAUUUAUCACUUUCUGCACAUGUCAACUCGUCACAUGGAAUAGUUAAUCUGAUGAGACUAAAUUAGGCCUGACAGCAUGUCUCUUGAUACAUCCUACCCAGACUUAGCAGCGAUAAACAACGUUGUUAAUUUCUCCAACAGGGAAAGCUCACAUUGGCCCCGGUUUGCUUGGUGUCCACCUUACAGCAACACUGCCCUGGCUAAGUGAGCAGUGUGGCCAGCUUUUGCAAGCACGACAGCCAAUGGCUGUGUAAUUAUUGCAUACCAUUUUUAGGGACAGAAAGAAUAUAACAGGGGAAUACAGAAAUUGCAAGCCAUCCAUGAAGAAUCAGUAAGAAAUGAGGCCAAAUGGGCCCCAAAAUGUAAAACAAAACAAACAACCUCAGAAACACAGCCAGCAUGCAAGGCAAAUCCUUUGAAGUCUAAAAAAUGUCCAUGGGUACAAAGAAAGAAAUCUUUUGAAUAUAAUUCUUCUCCUUCAAUCAUUCACGUCUGUAGGAGGGGGGCUGUUAGCUGCCAUCCUCCACCCAGGCUGAUACCACAGUAAUGUCACCUUUGAAGAUGCGUUAGCCACUAACAGUAAUGGCCUUCUCAUUCUAAUAUCCACUGACUGACACUUGUGCCAGCUCUUUUCAGAGGUUAAGCUUCCCCGUCGUCCUCUAAGGUCAUGGGCGGGGAAGGAGACCGAGACUGCAGAGUCAGUACCAGUCACCAGAGUCACAAUGCUAGACGGCCAGUGUCCCACAUAUCGAGAAAUCCUCUGUAUACGUUAUGCUUCCAGCCAUUUAGUCACAAAGUCCCAACAUUGUAAGGGACAGUCACUCCUCAGAGCUCUAUUCUUUAAUGGCAUGUCAGUGGUACAGGAACACAGACAUGUCCUGCACAGGGUGCCAUUUCCUCCAGCUACCAUGGCCACCUCUGAGCAAGGAUUGAUAGCAGCUGAGAGUGAGAAGACUCUUGCCUGACAGAGAGAGAAAACACUGUCUUGAUAGCUUCUCAGAUACAAAAUUAAAGAAUGUCAACACACAUGGGAACUUAAAACACACACACACACACACACACACACACACACACACACACACACACACACACUGGAUUUGAUAUUCACAGUUUGCUGGCAACUCAGGUCUUCUAAUGGGUUUCGAAUUUCUCCAUGAUGCCUUAUGUAAGAGUCACUCAACCUGUCAAAGAGCAGUCCUUUACUCUGUCCUUGCUAUUGUUAACCAUGUGUCUUAUAUGUCCUUGGGGACAUUGGGAAGAGGCAGAGCCUACGAGGGGAGUAGGCGCUGGCAGGUUUGACCUUCAGAACACACAGGUUGUUAAGACCAUGUGCUGCUCUCCCCAAGGGUACCAGUUUGGCUCCCAGCACCCACAUUGGGAGGUUCAUAACUCGUAACUCCAGCUCCAGAGGAUCUGGUGCCUCUGGCUUCUAGUUACCUGAAUGCUUACAUACAUAUUGACACACAUAUACACACAAGUACUGACACACAUGUACACAGCUCUACAAAUGAGAAAGGAACAAUAAUUAAAAAAAAAAACAAAAGCAAAAACAAAACACCCCCAAGAAGCCCUGAGCAAUUUCAGUAAAGGGAGAUUGCCAAAUCGUAGUGAUCUACCUGGGGACCACCCAACAACCAUGGGCCAAGACCUCAGGGACAACUGGGGGCCAUGGGCCAGAAUCCCAGGCAGGUCAGGGCUGUUUUUCUUUGUGUAGGUUGAAAAGAGCCCAUGUAUAACUCUGGCUUUUCGAGAUGAUGUGCCCGAGUUGUUUAAUUUAAUUAGCAUCACACAUGUAGUUGUCGACAAUUUCGAAAGAAAUCCUACAGCAGGAGUCAAGCUCAAGCCCUAAGGUGAAACUUCUCCCUGACAUAGAGCCUCUGAUGUGCAAGAGGAGAAGGCUCUUCCCUUCCCUGGCUUUCGUUGUCCAGGCCUCUCAAUAGGGAGGAAGGGUCUGCAUCCAUAGGUAAGGUCUGAACUACCGCAAAGACACCUGGGAAUUCCAGAGCUGCUGGCUGCUCUGCCCGGCCCUGCCCACUUCCUGCAUCCCUCCCUCCCUCCCUCCCUCCCUCCCCCCUCCCUCCCCCCCUCCGUCCCUCCCCCCCUCCGUCCCUCUUUCUCUCUCUUACAUUUCCAUUCUGAGGGCUCAAACUUGCCAGGGUUGGACAGUCUGCUUUUCUUUUCAUCUACAGUCCCAUAUGGAACAGAUUGUGGCUCAAGGAAAACAACUCCUUCAUUCUCCAGCUGUCUGCCUGUGGGCCCCACUGGCACCGCAUUCUCAUUUAAGAGGAGCUUUUCCCACUUAGGGUCAUAGGCUUUGGCGCGAUGAGUCAGCAGUUUUUACCCUGACUCAAACGUCCCCCCAUUUAUUUGUGUUUUUCCUUCUUGAUCUCUCUCUCUCUCUCUCUCUCUCUCUCUCUCUCUCUCUCUCUCUCUCUCUCUCUCUCUCUCUCUCUGCAGCAGCCUCCUAUAUCUCUCCGCUCUGAAAUCAGGGUGACCACCUAUGUACCAGUUUGGAAGUCCAGGGUCUCAGAUCCUGGAUUGGUGGUUCCUGUGUGGACUGUCACUCCGCACUAGCAGCUGCGAGAACUCAAUCCUUCCACAGAAGUCUGUGCCCCUUGUACUGACACUUACACACCGACCAUCCCAGUGCCCUGUGAGCCUCGAUGCUGACACUUGGGGUAGGUGGGAAGCUCCUGAGGUGUCUUCUUCUGAGAUGAUCUUAGCUGGAGGCCAGUACCCAAUAAUGCGAUCCUAUUCUGCAAACAUGCCUUACCCCCGACACCCUUUCCUCAAUAACCUGCCCCAGGUCUUUGGGGAAACACCGCUGGUCACCAGAACAGAGGCAGUGUGGGCAGUGUGCCCGGAGUGGCAAUCACCUCUGCGACCAGACUGUCAGUCUGUCAGUCUGACCAAGAGCACAGGCUUAAGCCUUUCUGGGCUGAACUCCUCAACCAUAAAACGGUGCCACAUCAGCUUUCCUGCAGAUGUGAAGAUGGAUAAAACCUACCUAGAUGAGUCUGAACGUAGCUCACAUUUGCCAUUAUUUGGUCUCGAGACUUUCUGAACAAGGCUGGAUUGCUUGUUUAACAUCCAGGACAAUCUUCUAAACCUCUUAUCCUCCAGGGCCCAGGAGGAUGACAUGUAAUUACAAAUUCAAAAGGUUGAAUGACACACUUUGCAAAGCAGAUUACAGUCCUAUGAAAAACAUUUUCAACGCUACUCUGUCAGCAGUUCUGUAUCUGCCUCCUUCUCUCCUCAGGAGAACCUGCGAAUCCAGAAGUCCAUUAGGGAGUUGUAACAACUUCCUCCUGAAGCAGGUUCCACCUACUAGGGAGGGCGCUGCUCAGGCUGGGGUAUGUGUAUGCCUUGGAGGCUACACCACUAAAUGUCUUGGGAGUGAAGGGGAAAGGCGUCUCAGGUCCGGCAGAUCCAUGAAUACUGGUCAGCCUGUGAUCUGCAAUGACAUAGUCUGAGGCUCUGCCCACUCCUAUCUCCCAGACGGUCACUGCUGGUGAGCAAACUGGCUCAGAACUCAGGAGUCCAGGAUUCAUAGCCAACUCUCUCUCUCUCUCUCUCUCUCUCUCUCUCUCUGUGUGUGUGUGUGUGUGUGUGUGUGCACGUGUGUGUGUAUAUGUGUCCCAUACAUACCAUGCAUGCACACCUAAGAGAUUUAAGAGAGAACAGAGAUCUAAGGUCUCUCUUUUCUCUCCAGUGCAUGAGAAACAACCACCAUUUCCAGACAAACAGGGAUAAAAGCCAGGCCAGGGAUCUGUAGCAGCAGCCCCUCAAGCAUCAACUCCUACAGUAAGCAUCCCAGGGACCAGAUGUCACCUGUGCUUGUUAGUGGGAUCCUCCCAGGAGCAAACUCCUGACAUGAGGUUGGCUGAUGUUACACAAGGCUCUGGUCCAUCCCUCUCUCCUCUCCUCUCUGGAGACCGGCAGACAGCUCUCUUUGGCAGCAGACACCAGCAUCCGUCUCCCAGGUGAGGGAUGAAGUCUUUCUCCUCUGUCCUGGAUGUGUAGGAUGAUGUCAUAUCUGGGAAGGGGCAGUGCUUAAGCCUCUGGGACCUGGAAUGCCUCCGUGCAUAGUAAUGCCAUCUUGGUGGUGUGUCUUGGCUCUAAGGGUCCAGACUGCAGAACUGUGAGGUAUCCAUGGAGAACUGACUCUCAGCAUGCCGGGACAGCAGGUGGCUGACACAGCAGGAUAGGAGAGACGUAGCUCCAGGAGCUUGCGAGUAAAGAACUAGAGAGUAGUGGCCAUGACCAAGUCAGUCCUGACAGAGGACAGCCCAGGUACUUAUGUAAACACCAACCCCAUCACGCUCAUCCAAGAAGAGAGGAGGAGAAGCCAUCUGGGAAGUGUUUCCCAGUCUGGUGGGCUGGUGUUCAGAGCUAAGACAGAGCCACAACAAGGAGUUGUGAGGUAUACACAGGAUGGGGCAGGCUGUGGCCUUGUUUUCAGUGAGGAGGGGACUUUCUUCUGGCAUUCGGGAUGUGAGGGACAGAGAAGAAAGCUCAACAGGAACCUGGGGGGCAAGGAGAGGCAAGCUCAAGGUGAGGAUGGCACACUCAGCUUGCAAGGUCUGACAGGUUUCUGCAUCCGGAUGGAGACAGCCAAGUAAUAUGCAAUUCAUAUUAGGAACAGUAUCAGGGAAACGUCCUCCCCCGCUCUGGGAGUACACAAGCAUGUGGAAGCCAGAGGCUUACACUGGGUAUCUUCCUCGGUGGCUUACUAGCCUACUCUGUUGAGACAGGCGUCUCAGCAAGCCUAGAUCACUACAGCUCAGCUAUGCUAGCUGACUGGCAAGCCCCAGGGAUCUUCUGGCCUGUGUCCCACAGAGCCAGGAUUACAGGCAAACACUGCCACGUCCAGCUUUUAUGAGGGUGCUGGGGACUGAAAACAGUUUCCAUGCUUCUGUGGCCAGUACUUUGCUGACUGAGUCAUCUCCCUAGCCUGGCUUAUCUUUUCAUUUUUUUUUUCUUUUAAUGCGAGAGAACUGUGGCCUUAUUUUGCCACUGACAUUUAUUUACAAACAUUUGGUCUUUUAUUAAUUAAUUAAUUGGUCUUCUGACCUACAGGCAUCUGGUUCUCUGAUUCAUUUGUUGUGAGUUUCCACUUCUCUUGGCCAUCUCUCCUGGGCAACAGUUCAGAUCCUUAAGGUGCUAGGAAGAUUUAGAUUCCACCAGGGAAGGACGACAAUGUCUGCCGGGGCAUCACAACCUUGUCCUCCGUUUUUUCAGAGCUUCAGGGAAAUGAGAUCCAAAAGCCAGUGUACAGAGCCCAGGAUGCAGAGGGAGUGAAGUAAAACAGGCCGUGUGACAGCCUCACGGACACACACUCUUUAGGAAUCUGACCCACCAGUCUGGGUAACACACCUCCAUUGCUUCACUCCACAUGCACCCGCCGCCCCCCAGGGCCUGGCUAUCACUGUGGUCAGUUAGGAACAUUCCGCUCAGCUGGCCCUGUGUUUCUGUUUUCUCCUCUGUAUGAAUAUGUCUAUCCAGCAAAGCUUAAACUCAUCAGCCUUUAAGGUUCAUGUUAAUGGCAGACUAGAGGUAGAUCUUGUCUGAAAAGUGGAUGACUGACCAUGACCCACAGCACCAGCCUGGGUGCCUUGGGGAGCCACGUCCCCAGAGGAUGGUGUUAUGUGAAGGGACAGGGGUGAUCCCAGCCUCACUCCAGUGUCUGCUCUUCAGAAGUGCCAUCGACACUGAUCCCCAUAUGUUCCCAUCAAGAUUCUGUGUGCAAGGGCCAGCGAGAUGGCUCAGCAGGCAGAGGUGCUUGCUGUCAAGCCUCACAACCUAAGUUUGAAGCAGGGGACUGACCUAAGUCAUCCUCUGUCCUCCACACAUGUGCCAUGACAUGAAACGUGAGCGUGUGAGCGCGCGCGCGCGCGCACACACACACACACACACAGUGCACGCACUCCUGUUAUUGCUGUGUGAUGCACAGUGACAGCUUGUGAUUCAGCAAAGGCCAGCGUCAGAUGCAGCCCACCCAGCUCCAAGUCUCCAGAGUCAUUCACCAAAAUAAGCCUUUGCUUUGUAAUCCAUCAAUUACAGGAGUCUGGUUAUAGAAAUGCAAGACCUCGAGACACCAGCAACCUUUCCCUGUGGAGAGCACAAAUCACAGUGGUGAACUGGAUCCUGAGACACAGGCCACUCAACGACCUCGUGACUCACACAAAUCCAAUAUCUCUCUCUAGUGUGAUUGUCCCACAUGGGGUUCUGCUUUGUGGAAUCUCAGCGAGGGCUGAGCCAAUGGCACCUGGGCCACACACCACGCAGUUCUGACGACUGGGUGUCAUUACCAAUCCUCAGGCUUGGGUUUGCCAUAGCUUUUGAGGUCCUGUCUGCAAAGGUCCCAUAUUACAGUAAUAAAAAAAUGGCGGACCCAGCUCAGAUCCGCGGGAGCUGUGCGCUCCAGCUGUUUCUCUGCCAGCUGCUUUCACACACUGUCCUCUUGGUGGUUUGUUACCAUGCCUGACACACACAUUGCGUUCUGAGGGCCGUUCUAGCAUGGCACCAUGCCACGCUAUGUCAGGCAUUCUAUAGCCUAGCACGGCUUCCAGAACUGAAACAGGUUGUCUCUCUGCCCACCGGGAACUUUGUUCACACCCCGGGUAGCCCGGUAAAUCAAAACUCUAAAAACCUGUAGUUUAACAAUUAGAUUUACAUGUUAAAUUCCCAAUCUCCAAUACAUCCACACAAUAAACUUAUAAGCAACUGAUAAGGAUAUAAACCUAGAUUAAGAUAAUUUGCCUACAGAAAUCCAUCCCAGCUACCUUGACAAUUCAUGACCACCCGGAUCUGGGUCAUUCUUAGUCUCCAUCUUGAUUCUUCCUCCCUACAAAAACUUUAUCCCCACCUUAUUCUUUUACUGUCCAAUCACGGCCUUGAUCUAACUUGUGCCAGCCCUCACCAGCAUAAUGACAUCAACCUACAGUCCCAUUCCGGCAUUAGUAGAAAAACUCCUCUUCCCAGUGACACAGCAACAGCAGAGCAGAAGUGUUCAGUUGUUUGAGGACCCACAGGAACCUGGCCUGGUGAGUGUCCCACACCAGUGGGGUCAUAAGACAGCCUCCGCAGCCAUGGCCUGGGACAGCCGUCCAGCAUCCUUCAUCCUUGCUUGUCUGUCCAUGCCUAUCCCCAACAAGGCCCUGGCUAUCAUCAUGGAGUCAGGAUGUCUUCUACAUGCAGCUUUUUUAGGAGCAGGAGAACCCUAGACGCCCUCUGCUGUGAGAUUUCAUUCUGGUGAUAAACAUAACUUUAAUCUUCUAAGCUUACAGUCUCCAGAGGAAUGCAAGCUCACUAGCAGGCCCCACACAGGGAAGUGCCUGGCACCCAGCAAAGCUAUGUGCACCCUGGGGACAGCUGAGAGGUGCUGUGGAAAGCCAGUGGGAUGCCAGAUCUCUGCCCCAUGCAUAUCUGCAGACGACUUGGGCAGCAGCAUUCUAACCACUUAACCAGUGGUGUCUGAUUAGUGCCAAGGGUGCUUAUAAUGACUACUCUUUAAGAUGGGGCCCUGUGUCAAAUGUUCAUUCUGCUGAGGGCGAUAGGUCUAAAAGAAUCUCAAGUAAGCUAGAGUUAGGCACAGUCACGUGACUAAGUUCUGCCAAGUGGUGUUGCUAGGGGAUUUCUGGCAUAGCAUCCUCUUGCUCUUAAAAGCAGACAUGAGAUGCUGGCUUCCUCUUUGUAUCAUUCCUGUGGAUGUGGCCCAUCAAUCUGAUGGCCCGAGGGCCAGCCUUCUGGGAGGCCAAGGAAGCAACUGCAUGAGUUCAGGGCUUCUGUGGCCCCUUCAGCUGCCUGGCCGCCCUCCCUCAAUGAGACCAUCAUGGCCACGCAUCUGUCUUUCCCCUUCUCUCAGAACAGUCCUGGUCCCCCUGGGAUUGUAGCCAGAGUCCUGCAGAAAGUCCUUUCAACACGUGAAUGUACACAUUCGCAGCUAAGACACAGAGGCUGGUCUACAGCCAGGGCUCCCCAUACCCCUUCCUGAGGUAACAGGCAUAGGGCACGGCGAUCAUCCUUUCAGCUGAAUUCAUUUUCUUUGGGGCCAUUGCCACUACCUAAUUCUAGAACACUUCACCACCAUCUCCAAGAGAACCUGCACCCACUAAGCCACAAUUCUGUAUGGGUUCUCUUCUCCUAGCCAUCAGUGGCCAGUGAGCUGCUUUCUGUGUACAGAUUUUCCUACUUCAGACACUUCCCAAAGAUGAGACCAGAACCAUGGCCGCUGGUGUCUGCUUUCUUUACUUGGCUAGAUGGUUUUCAAGUUCACCUACUGUUAGCAUUCUGUUUAAGCUCCACCCCCACAGUGACCUGGCAACAGCUAGGUACGCCUGACACUAUAAAGGUCCCCUCCUGUCCCCUUCUGUCUCUCUUGCUCUUGCUCCCUUUUGCUCCUCUCUUGCUCUUCCCCCUUGUCUCCUCUCUCCCCAUCCCCUUCUCUCCAUGUGCUCAUGGCUGGACUCUAUUUGCGUAUUUCUCUACCCACCCCCCUCUCUCUGCCCCAACUACCCUCUUAACUCCCCUCCCCAUGAAUAAACUCUAUUCUAUACUAUACUGUCAUGUGGCUGCUCCCUCAGGGGGAAAGGGAUGUCUCAGCAUGGGCCCGCUGUGGCACCCCCUUUCCUCAGACUUCCAUAUAACAUAACCCCCCUUACUUUAUCUUUUUAUAAACACAACGCCUACUGUAACAGAACUCAGCCCUCUUUUCUCGGCUAGGUGAUACUCUGCCACAUGGAUGGAGUGCAUUCUUCCCGUUCAUCACGUGUUAGCCAUUUGGCACAAUAUCACCUUUUAGCUCUUAUCAACGAUGGUGUUUUAAUCGUCCACAGAUGGGCUUUUGUUUGUUCCUUUGCUUUGAAUCCUCUUCAGUGAACACCUAGGGGUGAAUCUGCUGAGUCACAGGGUAGUUUAGCUCCUGAGCCACCAAACCACUGCUGUGUUGUGCUGAUGCGUUCACAGUGGUAAGAAAUGUGGCUAAAACUGACCACCUUUGCCGUUUUCAAGUGUACAGUUCUGCAGUGCUCAGUGUUCACAGUGAGAAAACAAAGCUCUGGGUUCUCUUCAUUUUUAAGCUGCGAACUAUAUGCUGAACACUCCCUCCUAAUUCUCCCCACACCCUUGCUGACUUCCAUUCCACUUCCUAAUCGACAACUGGGCCUGCCCUAGACCUGACAGUGGAAUUCUGCAGGCUGAGACCUUGUACCUCCGGCUUUUUUCACUUGGCACAGUAUAUAAAGGUCCACUUGUGCUGUGGCAGGAGACACAAUUUCUUCCUUUUAAAAGUCCAAAUAAUAUUUGAGUGUUUUUUUUUUUUUUUUUGGUUCUUUUUUUCGGAGCUGAGGACCGAACCUAGGGCCUUGCGCUUCCUAGGCAAGCGCUCUACCACUGAGCUAAAUCCCCAACCCCUUGAGUGUAUAUUUUAAUAGAACUAUUAUUGUUUUGGGUACAAACAGCCUUUAUAGGUUGCAACAAUGAAUGAAGAGAGGGGGCGUGUCAACUAUACAUACUCCCGGGGCAGGGGCCACAGAUGCAGUCACUGUCCUGUGAAAGGUAAGGGACUUUUUUGAGUGUGACAUUUCUUUCCAUCUUCCAGUCUACAAUAAUUUACCUUUAAUGACUAACCCUUGCCCCGAGGCAUGAACAUAAGCAAAAAUCAAUGACCUCUUUGCCCUGAGAGAGUUCAGCAACAACAGAACAUGGAUCUUCCGUCAGCAAGGUAGUAGGUUGCUUGGAAAUUCAUCUUUAAAGACUCAGCCAGGCAUUUUCUCAGUGCCGUACAACUGGACAGUUGAAGCCAAGAGGCUGAUUUAAGAGUUAAAAGGUCCAGGUAACCCUAAGGCCGUGGACUCGACCAAGGCUCUUGUCUCCAUGUAGUUACUGUUACAUAUUUUAUUUUAUAAAGCCAAGUUGGAGCGUUGAUUGAAGCUCGGCCCACGUGUUUAUGGUAAGCAAACGCUCCUGAUAGACUGGGUAACUCUGUAGUCUCCACAAACAUGAGCAGACGGAGAGGUCAACCUCCUGUGGACAUACAGAGGAGAAGCCUCAUUUCCUCCUUCCCCUCCACAUCCUGAGAGGACCUCCUGUAGUGGAGUUGCAGCUGGCUCCUAAGGACCACUGAGAAGCUGACAAACCACUUCUGGUUUCCAUACUUGCUAUGGAGCCAGAUGUUAUAUAACGCUGCCUCAAAGUCCUUCCCAGCAGUGUGGUCCCAAGAAAGCUGAGACUUCAUAUCUCCUCUCUCAUCCCAGACCCAAGGAAUCCAGUCAGAAUCCUGUGAUUUUAUGAGAACCCUCAUGCUCAGUCACUAUGUGGAGACACUUCAAUUCACUGUGCCCCCAGGGCAACUCUCCUGUGCCGCCUCUCUGGUGAGGGAGAUCAGCCUGGAUGAGGGGAACUGGCCAACUCCUGCCGGGGCUCCUUGCCACACAUACCAUGCUCUCUGCUCACAGAGGGAUUCUGACUAGAAUGUCAAUGUUCUUGUCUCUCGGGCUAAAACUCAUGCUCCAUGUGUUUUGAAGAAAAGUUUAACUUUUGCUGUGCACAACGACAAGAUGAUGAAUUAAUCAGUGAAGAAGGUGUGGCCUUGAGCUUUAGACAGUUAUGGUCAGUCUGGAGAGGGAGAUGAGCGUGGGAACCCAAUCCAUUUACACUUUGUCGGCCUCUAAGAAACAAACCGUACUAGGCUAAAUUGCUACCACCUAACACGUGGACUGAUACACUUGUCUGCAGGUGGACUGUCUAUCUCUAGGUCUCAUGGGCAGACAGGGUGACCCCUCACAGAGCCAUACCCUUUCAUUUGUCCUCAGCACCUUGCAAUCUAUGUAUAGCUGUGUGUGGCCGGUGGUUUCCUGAGGCCAACAGACACCCAAUGUGCCCAGAACUAUGUUUAGAUGCUGACAUAGGAACGACUCUAACUAAACUAGCUUUCACAGAACAGACAAGCGGCUUCCAAGGAAGCUAACCUAAAUGAGAACUUGUGAGCAGAAAGGAAAGAAAAUACUCACAUUACAGUUCAUCACCAACUACUGUGUGGUAAAUGCCAACGGCCUAAUUGGGUCUGACAAGAAGCAGUCCACCUCUACCAAAGCUGAAAUUACCCAGAAGGUCAUUAGAAAUUUAAAAUCACAUCCUCACUAAUGGAAAACUUCACCACAAGGGUGGUAGGACCUUGAGAUAUAAGCUGAUGGUAGUAUCAAGUUUUAGUGCUGAUUUCACUUUCAUCAAUUAGGUUGCCAUCUGUUUUGUUAGAUGUUACAUAACUUAGAGAGUGGAGGUAUAGCACUUAAUAGUGUGUGUGUGUGUGUGUGUGUGUGUGUGUGCUAUAAAAAUGACCCAGGCACUGGGAGACUCCGGGAAAAGGAUCUCAUGUUUGAAGCCAGCAUAGACUGCACAGAGAGGCCUUCCAAGACAUUCAAACAGAAUGAAUAUAGAAAGCAUUCUUUAACACUGAUGGGGCAUAAGAUUAGUGUGGGGGUCACACCUCCAGCACAGAACAUCCAGGAGGCCUGGAAGACAGGUUGCUAUGGGGCUCCACCUGGACAGCAGUGAAGGCUGGGGGAGGAGCUCCUUUGCCAUGGGAACUCCAUAGUUUUACCACCACUGCCUUUGGAAUGUUGGUAGGGUGUGGUGGAGUUUUCCAAAGGACUUAUGUCAGAGAGCUGUCCGGCACUGUCUCAGAAUGUGGCUUGGUCUGUAAGUACCAUCACCGCAGUUGUGAUUUGUUAAGUGAAGUCAUAUAACCUUAGGUGAGUCCUACUCCACCGUGACUUUUGAAAAUGGAAUUGGACAGACUUGCGACAAGUACACUGUGCACAGGUAGGGCCAGAGUUCUGUCAGCCUGCUGAUGAACCUCUAGAAGCUGAGCGUACUGGGGCAAAACCCUCCCUUGGCACAUCAGAAGCAGUGUGGCUCCCGGUACCUGACCUCACGUUCUCAGAGCACAAGAGAUCACAGUUCUGCCGUUUAACACACCCAGCCUACUGCUCAUGGCCACUACAGCCCAGGAAACUUGUGAAGAGGUAGUCGGCUCCUCGCCGUGACAGUGGACCUGUCUGUGACCUGAAGCCUGAGCCUGUAGAGGCCCUGAGGCAGACAAACACCACUCUGCCCCUCUCUUCUGGAUGCCAGUGGAUGGAGCAUGACAGAGUGUGGCUGAUGCUCGGAGCCCACCCUGCUGCCUAACGAAGGUAUGGAGCCAGUGCUGGCUCGGCCAACCUUCUGAGUAGUCACAGGUAAAAUGAUGACACUUUCCUGUCCCUUGCUGUCAUGCAAAGGAGACACAUUGCUCCUGCUCUAUCUACAGACUUAGAGUGAAGGUCUAUCAGUCUUCAUCAUCCUGAUGAAGAGCUAACUGACGGGGCUACCGACCUCCCGCUUUCCUUACCCGUGCAGAGCUGAUAGCUCUCUUCUACUUUAGGAACAUCUUAACCACCCAAUGGUCUUGUUGACAGCUUCUCUCUGCUGCAUUACCUUAGUCCAUAAACAGGGGCCUCAAGUCAUUCCUUCAUAAAGACCUUUCAUAUCACACAAGGUCCUCUGGUGCAGCACAAGGUUAGGAUGCCCACACCAUACCAACACCUGGGGCAACAGCUAUGUCACUGGGACCCCAAGACAACACUGGGCUUGAUCUGCUGGCACCAAGCAACGGUGGCCUGCCGGUAUCAGCAUACAUGUCAGGGGGAAAGGACAUACUUUCAGGACACAGCUUAUGACUAGCUGGACACAAAAGACAACACUGAACUUACAGAUGAUUUUCACAUUAGUCCACCACAAAGAGCCAUUAGGGUUUAAAUUGUCAGGCAGGGGCCUUGUGACCUGAGCAGCACCCAGCUGUGCCAUCCUCUGACUCAGAAGUUUUGAGUUCCCAAUUUCUUAUCCCCAAGGACAACCAUGGAGAGAACCAUUAGGACUGCAAAGGGUCACAAUCUGGCAUCUGUUAUGGGGUCAUUCUAAAGGGGGCACAGUGAAAUCUUAAACCUUCAAGUUCUCAAAAUAGGGUAUGUACUGGCUGGUUUUGUGUGUCAACUUGACACAAGCUGGAGUUAUCACAGAGAAAGGAGCCUCCUUUGAGGAAAUGGCUCCAUGAGACCCAGCUGGAAGGCAUUUUCUGAACUAGUUAUCAAUGGGAGAGGACCCAGCCCAUUGUGGGUGGUGCCAUCCUUGGGCUGGUGGUCUUGGGUUCUAUAAGAAAGCAAGCUGAGCAAGCCAGGGGAAGCAAGUCAGUCAGUAACAUCCCUCCAUGACCUCAGCAUCAGCUCCUGCCUCCUGACCUGCUUGAGUUUCAGUCCUGACUUCCUUUGGUGAUGAACAGCAAUGUGGAAGUGUAAGCUGAAUAAACCCUUUCCUCCCCAACUCUCUUCUUGGUCAUGAUGUUUGUGCAGGAAUAGAAACCCUGACCAAGACAGGACAUUACUUGGAUAUAGGGUCUUCGCAGAGACAGUUAAAGGGAGGUCCCAGGGUAAGCCCCUAAUGCAAUAAAAAGGGGAAAUGUGUGCAUGGAGACAGGAGAUGGGAAGAGGCAGAGUGUGGCGGGGGGUGGGGUGGGGGGUGGGCAAAGGCAGAGCAGAGCAUUCGUGGCACAUAUCUAUUAGCCACCAAACACCAGACACUGCUGGUUUGGGGGAACUGUGUCUUCUAGGCUAACAUGGCCAGUGUCACCUGGAGGCAGGGCAGCUGUGAUCCUUUCCUGAAGACCUCAGGAGAAGUCUUCCCUUGUCAGGGAGAAGGGACCUCUGGAGACCUGUUGUUCCUAUGCAAAGCCACAGGGCCUCGUGUCUUCCACUGUUAUGUCUCUGCCCUGACCUCCACGCUCUUGUUGGGUCACAGGGCCAGGCUGUCACAGCGAUGGCCCCAUUGCUAGUUCCAGUUCUCUGCCUCCGUUUAACCACUGCUGUGACCAAAUACUUUCCAGAAACAAAACAAAACAAAACAAAACAAAACUGAAUGAAAGAUGGACUCUGGCCCAGUUUUCAAAGCUCAGUUCAUCAUCGAGGGGAGGGCAUGGCAGAACAGAGGGAUCUGUACAGGGACGAUAGCAUGGCCAUGGCCCACAGCUCCCUCCACUUCCUGCCCAUCCAGAGAAGCCCCUCCAUCAGCACGGACACCUCCAGCGCAAUGUGCUGCCCAAGGGCUGAGCUUCGAGAGCACAGACCCUGGAAGCACAGCACAAAUCUCUCCUUUAUAUUGUGCAUGCUAUGUGCUCUGUCACAGUGACAGGGAGGCUAACAAAUACACCAUCUUUUCAAAGUUAAAGCACAGAAAAUACAUUUUCAGGUGGAUGAGAGAUGAAAGAAUUCAUCCCCAAGGGACCUUCUAUUGUUGUCCAUUUUCUGUCACUACAGUGCAGUGAUCUAAUUUUAAAGAAAAGAGCCUUUACCUCCCUCCACUCAUGGUCUCAUCCAAGGUCAGGGGCUGCAUCUGCUGGGAGUUCCUAGGACAUGCGGGGCAGAUCUGGGGCAUCGGACAUGUAUUACCUCCUCCCACCCACCCCUGUCUGUCUCUGUCUCUCUGUUUCUCUCUGUCUCUGUCUCUGUCUCUCUCUCUCUCCCUCUGUGUGUGUGUGUGUGUGUGUGUGUGUGUGUGUGUGUGUGUGUGUGUGUCCCUCCCCUGUGUCCUGUCUUGUCUUGUAAAGCCACUGGAAU